GUGCCAGCCGCCGCGGUAACACCGGCAGCCCGAGUGAUGGCCGAUAUUAUUGGGCCUAAAGCGUCCGUAGCUGGCCGGGGAAGUCCGUCGGGAAAUCCACUCGCUCAACGAGUGGGCGUCCGGCGGAAACUCUCCGGCUUGGGACCGGAAGGCUCGAAGGGUACGUUCGGGGUAGGAGUGAAAUCCCAUAAUCCCGCACGGACCACCGAUGGCGAAAGCACUUCGAGAAAACGGAUCCGACAGUGAGGGACGAAAGCCAGGGUCUCCAACCGGAUUAGAAACCCGAGUAGUCC
rnacentral:rRNA from 1 species